rnacentral:rRNA from 1 species
UACGGGGGGGGCAAGCGUUGUUCGGAAUUACUGGGCGUAAAGGGCUCGUAGGCGGCCAACUAAGUCGGAUGUGAAAUCCCCAGGCUUAACCUGGGAAUUGCAUCCGAUACUGGAUGGCUUGAAUCCGGGAGAGGGAUGCGGAAUUCCAGGUGUAGCGGUGAAAUGCGUAGAUAUCAGGAAGAACACCCGUGGCUAAGGCGGCUCUCUAGUACGGUACUGACGCUGAGACGCGAAAGCGUGGGGAGCGAACAGG